rnacentral:rRNA from 1 species
GACGAACGCUGGCGGCGUGCCUAACACAUGCAAGUCAAGGCGGUAGCAAUACCGACUGGCGCACGGGUGCGGAACACGUAGGCAAUCUGCCCUUAAGGGGAGAACAACUUGUCGAAAGGCGAGCUAAAUCUCCGUAAUAUAUUCGGAUGGCAUCAUCUGAAUAUCAAGCUUUCUUAGGGAUGAGCCUGCGUCUGAUUAGCUAGUUGGUAGUGUAAUGGACUACCAAGGCUACGAUCAGUAGCUGGUCUGAGAGGAUGAUCAGCCACAUUG